ensembl:lncRNA TTN-AS1 TTN antisense RNA 1
GAUGCAUUUCGGAUUUCAAGGGAGUAUACAUUUCUGGAGCGGCUUAUGCUGACAUUUGAAGAAAUAGAAAUCUAAGACAAAGGAAAAAGAAAAGAAAUGUUGAAGUUCUUCAGAUGUGGAAGACAUGGUGAGGAUUCCUUCAUCUCUGUGACUGGCUUGCUUGAUGGUUAGGGUCUGAUCGCUGCCUGAGACACCAUAUCGGUACUCCUCAGAGUUGAUGCAGAGUGUUCAUAUGAGGAGAGACUUUCCCUUGUCUCCGUCAUCUGUGAUUUCACUUCCCUGACAGAAGACGAAGCUUCCAUCUCAGAUGUUUUCUUAAAUGAUGAAACAGCAUACGCCUCUGUUCUUGUCAGCUCAGGGAAAACAGAUCUGGGGACCUCUUCAUCUCUGCGUUGGGAAGCAUAGGUGGUAUAAUCCCCUCCUGUCACGUCCAACGUUGCAUAGUCAGAAGCUUCGCCCUUGU